UAAACGAUGUCGACUUGGAGGUUGUGGCUUCCGGAGCUAACGCGUUAAGUCGACCGCUGGGGAGUACGGCCGCAAGGUUAAAACUCAAAUGAAUUGACGGGGGCCCGCACAAGCGGUGGAGCAUGUGGUUUAAUUCGAUGCAACGCGAAGAACCUUACCUGGUCUUGACAUCCAGGUGCUGCAUGGCUGUCGUCAGCUCGUGUUGUGAAAUGUUGGGUUAAGUCCCGCAACGAGCGCAACCCUUAUCCUUUGUUGCAACUCAAAGGAGACUGCCAGUGAUAAACUGGAGGAAGGUGGGGAUGACGUCAAGUCAUCAUGGCCCUUACGACCAGGGCUACACACGUGCUACAAUGGCGCAUACAAAGAGAAGCGACCUCGCGAGAGCAAGCGGACCUCAUAAAGUGCGUCGUAGUCCGGAUUGGAGUCUGCAACUCGACUCCAUGAAGUCGGAAUCGCUAGUAAUCGUGGAUCAGAUGCCACGGUGAAUACGUUCCCGGGCCUUGUACACACCGCCCGUCACACCAUGGGAGUGGGUUGCAAAAGAAGUAGGUUACCACUUU
rnacentral:rRNA from 1 species